ensembl:lncRNA
UUUCUCCAGUGUUGUCUAAUCACACACUCUUCCCCCUGCCUUUCUCUUCCCCCAGGAGUCUCCCCUGGUCCAGCCUCAGACCCCGUGGUGUGAGUCUAUGAGCCAGCUGAUGAGGAAACUGGACCAGCUCAACCUGGACAUAGAGGAGGCUCUGAGUCCAUCAUCCUCCCCCUCGGACACACCCUGCACCGCACGCAGACAACAGUAUGGAGCUGUGUCUGGGACGGCAGUAAACCAAUCUCUUAACGAGGAGGACAGUACACUGCUGCAGCGAGGGGAACCAGAUACAGAAGAAUGUCUCAGACAGGACCAACACAAGACCUUGGCCACUAGUAGCUCAGCCGAAGGAACCAGAGCCAGGACCAAGAAGACAGUCGUAAGUUCCUAUCAGAGUCUCCCUCCUCCUCUCGACUCCUGCAUGCUCUGUGCCUGUCUGUCUGGGUCUGGGUGAAACCAUGUGGUAUAGAUAUCAUCAGAUAGCUCUCACUUUACAUACAGUGCCUUUGAAAAGUAUUCAUUCUCCUUGACUUAUUUCACAUUUUGUUGUGUUACAGCCUGAAUUCAAAAUAGAUAACAUAGAUGUUUUUCCCACCCACAUACACACAAUAGCCGAUAAUGACAAAGUCAAAAUAUGUUAAAAAAAAAAAGUUUUGCAAAUCUAUUUAAAAAAGUAUUCACAUAAGUAUUUACACCCCCUAAGUCAAUACAUGUUCGAGUCACCUUUGGCAGUGAUUACAGCUGUGAGUCUUUCUGGGUAAGUCUCUAAGAGCUUUCCUCACCUGGAUUGUACAAUAUUUGCAUAUUAUACUUUUUUUCAUUCUUCAAGCUUUGUCAAGUUGGUUGUUGAUCAUUGAUGGAAAACCCUUUCCAAGUCUUGUCAUAGAUUUUCAAGCCGAUUUAAGUCAAAACUGUAACUAGGCCACUCAGGAAUAUUCAAUGUCAUCUUGGUAAGCAACUCCAGUGUAUAUUUGGCCUUGUCUUUUAGGUUUUGUCCUGCUGAAAGGUGAAUUUGUCUCCCAGUGUAUGUUGGAAAGCAGGUUGAACCAGGUUUUCCUCAAAGAUUUUGCCUGUGCUUAUCUCUAUUUUGUUUAUUUUUGUCCUAAAAAAACUCCCUCGCCGAUGACAAGCAUACCCAUAACACGAUGCAGCCACCACCAUGCUUGCAAAUGUAAAGAGUGGUACUCAGUGAUGUGUUGUGUUGGUUUUGCCCCAAACAUAACACUUUGUAUUCAGGACAUAAAGUGAAUUUCUUUGCCACAUUUUUUGCAGUUUUACUUUAGUGUCUUACUGUGUAAAAGUUAAAUAAGAUAAAAAUAUUACAAACAGGAUGCAUGUUUUGUAAUAUUUGUAUUCUGUGCAUGCUUCCUUCUUUUCACAUUUAGGUUAAUAUUGUGGAGUAACUACAGUACAAUGUUGUUGAUCCAUCCUCAAUUUUCUCCUUUCACAGCCAUUAAACUCUGUAACU